rnacentral:rRNA from 1 species
GACGAACGCUGGCGGCGUGCCUAAUACAUGCAAGUAGAACGCACAGUUUAUACCGUAGCUUGCUACACCAUAGACUGUGAGUUGCGAACGGGUGAGUAACGCGUAGGUAACCUGCCUGGUAGCGGGGGAUAACUAUUGGAAACGAUAGCUAAUACCGCAUAAUAUUGAUUAUUGCAUGAUAAUUGAUUGAAAGAUGCUAUUGCAUCACUACCAGAUGGACCUGCGUUGUAUUAGCUAGUAGGUGAGGUAACGGCUCACCUAGGCGACGAUACAUAGCCGACCUGAGAGGGUGAUCGGCCACACUGGGACUGAGACACGGCCCAGACUCCUACGGGAGGCAGCAGUAGGGAAUCUUCGGCAAUGGACGAAAGUCUGACCGAGCAACGCCGCGUGAGUGAAGAAGGUUGUCGGAUCGUAAAGCUCUGUUGUAAGGGAAGAACGGGUGUGAGAGUGGAAAGUUCACACUGUGACGGUAUCUUACCAGAAAGGGACGGCUAACUACGUG